rnacentral:rRNA from 1 species
GGCGACGGGUGAGUAAACGUGGGCAAUCUGCCCUUCACUCUGGGACAAGCCCUGGAAACGGGGUCUAAUACCGGAUAACACUCUGUCCUGCAUGGGACGGGGUUAAAAGCUCCGGCGGUGAAGGAUGAGCCCGCGGCCUAUCAGCUUGUUGGUGGGGUAAUGGCCUACCAAGGCGACGACGGGUAGCCGGCCUGAGAGGGCGACCGGCCACACUGGGACUGAGACACGGCCCAGACUCCUACGGGAGGCAGCAGUGGGGAAUAUUGCACAAUGGGCGAAAGCCUGAUGCAGCGACGCCGCGUGAGGGAUGACGGCCUUCGGGUUGUAAACCUCUUUCAGCAGGGAAGAAGCGAAAGUGACGGUACCUGCAGAAGAAGCGCCGGCUAACUACGUGCCAGCAGCCGCGGUAAUACG